AGAGUUUGAUCAUGGCUCAGGAUGAACGCUAGCGGCAGGCUUAACACAUGUAAGUCGAGGGGUAGAAGUUUUCGGACUUUGAGACCGGCGCACGGGUGCGUAACGCGUAUGCAAUCUACCUUUUACAGAGGGAUAGCCCAGAGAAAUUUGGAUUAAUACCUCAUAGUAUUAUUGAAUGGCAUCAUUUAAUAAUUAAAGUUCCAACGGUAAAAGAUGAGCAUGCGUCCCAUUAGCUAGUUGGUGUGGUAACGGCACACCAAGGCAAUGAUGGGUAGGGGUCCUGAGAGGGAGAUCCCCCACACUGGUACUGAGACACGGACCAGACUCCUACGGGAGGCAGCAGUGAGGAAUAUUGGACAAUGGGCGCAAGCCUGAUCCAGCCAUGCCGCGUGCAGGAUGACGGUCCUAUGGAUUGUAAACUGCUUUUAUACGGGAAGAAACCCUGGCUCGUGAGCCAGAUUGACGGUACCGUAGGAAUAAGGAUCGGCUAACUCCGUGCCAGCAGCCGCGGUAAUACGGAGGAUCCAAGCGUUAUCCGGAAUCAUUGGGUUUAAAGGGUCCGUAGGCGGUUUUAUAAGUCAGUGGUGAAAUCCGGUAGCUCAACUAUCGAACUGCCAUUGAUACUGUAGAACUUGAAUUGCUGUGAAGUAACUAGAAUAUGUAGUGUA
rnacentral:rRNA from 1 species